AAAAGGAACAACAGAAAAUAUUCAUGGGAAAAACAGAAAUGGAGAUGUUUAAAAACAGUAAAGUGAAACUAAUGAGCGAAACAACAGGUAAUGCUCAAUACUGGCAACUUUGUCUAUCUUUCUGUGUCUAUAAAUCAUCUCAUACUAGCUGGAGUUUGGCUGGUUUGCCUCGCGUUCAUCUCGUGUUUGAAGGAUAGCUGGAAGAGGUGCUGUAAUUUUG
rnacentral:misc_RNA from 1 species